GUGCCAGCAGCCGCGGUAAUACGGGGGGAGCGAGCGUUGUCCGGAAUCACUGGGCGUAAAGGGUGUGUAGGCGUCCCGGUAAGUCUCUGGUGAAAGCCUUCCGCUCAACGGAAGAAUUGCCAGAGAUACUGUCGGGAUUGAGUCCGGGAGAGGGGAGCGGAAUUCCUGGUGUAGCGGUGAAAUGCGUAGAUAUCGGGAGGAACACCGGAGGCGAAGGCGGUCUUCUGGGCCACUCCUGACACUGAGGCACGAAAGCUAGGGGAGCGAACGGGAUUAGAUACCCCGGUAGUCCUAGCCGUAAACGAUGGGCACUAGAUGUUCCCACAUUUUGUGGGAGUGUCGAAGCUAACGCGUUAAGUGCCCCGCCUGGGGAGUACGGUCGCAAGGCUGAAACUCAAAUGAAUUGACGGGG
rnacentral:rRNA from 1 species